GACGAACGCUGGCGGCGUGCUUAACACAUGCAAGUCGAGCGGUAAGGCCCUUUCGGGGGUACACGAGCGGCGAACGGGUGAGUAACACGUGGGUGACCUGCCCUCAGCUCUGGGAUAAGCCUGGGAAACCGGGUCUAAUACUGGAUAUGACUCCAUGACGCAUGUUGUGGGGUGGAAAGCCUUGUGCGGCUGAGGAUGGGCCCGCGGCCUAUCAGCUUGUUGGUGGGGUGAGGCCUACCAAGGCGACGAUCCGUAGCUGGUCUGAGAGGACGAUCAGCCACACUGGGACUGAGACACGGCCCAGACUCCUACGGGAGGCAGCAGUGGGGAAUCUUGCCCAAUGGGCGAAAGCCUGAGGCAGCGACGCCGCGUGA
rnacentral:rRNA from 1 species